rnacentral:lncRNA from 10 species
AAAUUAGAUCAUAGUGUGGUCCUUGGACCAACAGUAUCAAUAGCACCUGAAAAUCAUGCUGGAAAUACAGAUUCACAGGCUGCUCCCUAGAAUACUGAAGAAGAAACUCUAGGAGUGAGACCCAACAAUCUGUAUUUAACAAGUCCCCAGGCCCCUGGAUCCUCCUGGAAUCCCCGAUCCCUCUUGCUCCCUGGCAGAGUUUUCUAGUCCCUCUUACUUGAAGCAUGUCUUUCAGAGCCCGGCACCACCCAUCUUGAGUAUCUGAUACCCCAUCAGCCUGAGUCUCUUAAAGGCCUUUAUACACAUAUGUCUACACAUAGGGAUUUGGAUGAUCUCGGGAUCCCACAUCCUCGCUGUCCCCUGUCCCCCCGCAACAUCCCCCACCAAUACCUUUCUGAAGUUUUCUAGUCCCUCCUUUUUGUUUGUGCUCCUUAAAGCCCAGCCCCAUGCCUGACUUUGGUUCCCAGUGAGCAUUGUACAUUUGUGGAUAUUAAAUCUUUGGCAAAGUCAUUUACC